GGAAGAAAGAGAUGUGAUCGACGGCAGGAGAAAAAGCUAGGCUUUCUCAGUCCUCGCUCGCUGCUCUCAAAUGGCAACAAGCAAGAGAGUUUGGGAGUGAUGGGAGCUUACACUAACUCUGAUCCCAUUUUACCACAAGCCCACCAAUUCUUGCCUUUUUUUGUCUGGGAGCUUUUGCUGGGGCAUCUGGGGCAGGAAUCAGGUGUAUCCGGUUGAAACCGAAAUACUGGGGUCAAUCUUUUCUUUGUGCAAGUCAGGUUAUCAUGAAGGCUUGAAUAUUUGACUGAGUAGGGGAAGAAAAAAUUCUUACGCAAGUUCAAGUAUCAUUUAGUGCAUAGCUCACCACUACCCUCGAUGGGAUCAAUACAAGAGGUCAGGUCCCCUGAUCAACCUUGAGAGUAUUGGGGACAAAAUUGAGGGGCUAUUGACUGAAAAUAUACUCAGUAAAGUUUCAGUUGAUUGUUAUUUCAAACUGGCCUUUCAACAUCGUCUCCAAGAUGGGCAACUUUCCUUUCAAUCUGGUCAAUUAAUGCCUGGAUGCAAUUCGUUGCAUAUGGAUGGAGGAAGAUGCACAGGGGAUGUUCAAAGAUAGCAGUCUUCUGGAUUACACUUUAUAAUCCACAGCUUCAGCUCCAACUUUUAACGGCUGUGGUAUUUGUGAGAGACCAUUUCAAAGGAUUGAGAACAAGCAGGAAGGUGCUAGCAGGUUAGUAGAGAAAAGGAAUUGCCUUCAGAAUGGGUGGAGUGAUAAAAUUGCACCUGAAAUUUUUUUCGUAUCCCAUCUGGUUUGUUGAAUUGAUUGGGGUGUUUCCAUGUAUCAAAGUAAAUAUUUUGUACGAGAAUUUGUGAACUGUUUUCAUGUAAUAUGUGUACAUACAUAUAAAGAUAAUGAAAAGAAG